rnacentral:lncRNA from 1 species
AUAAGACAGCAGCAUAUUUUUACCUUUCCUUUUUUAUCAUUUCAUUUCAGACAUUGUGAGUACAACUUUGUGGAAAUUAAAAUGCUUCUCCUGGUUCCAAUAAUAAAAUUCCAAUGAAAAUGUGGGAUCCUACCUUCAUCAUGUCAUCUUUUGGCCCAUACUGAAAUUUAAGGGACUUUUCUGAACUCUAUUUCUAAUUAAUGAAAGGUAAGGCUUUUAAUGAAAAUAAUAACUACCUUUUAUAAGGUAGUUAUUUAUACCUUAUAAAUAAAAUAUAAAAGUAUAUAUAGUUAUAUACUUAUAUAUAUAACAGUUAUAAUCUAUGUUUGUAAUAUAUAUAAUAUUUAUAAAUUGUAUUUACUAUAUGUAUAAUACAAACAAUAUAAUAUUUAUACACAUGCACAAAAUAUAUACAAGGCAUACCCUCAUGGA